rnacentral:rRNA from 1 species
AAGACCUUGCGCUUUUGGAGCGGCCGAUGCCUGAUUAGCUUGUUGGUAAGGUAAAAGCUUACCAAGGCUUCGAUCAGUAGCUGGUCUGAGAGGACGACCAGCCACACUGGGACUGAGACACGGCCCAGACUCCUACGGGAGGCAGCAGUGGGGAAUUUUGGACAAUGGGGGCAACCCUGAUCCAGCCAUGCCGCGUGAGUGAAGAAGGCCUUCGGGUUGUAAAGCUCUUUCAGCCGGAACGAAACGGUUACGGUUAAUACCCGUGAUUACUGGCGGUACCGGAAGAAGAAGCACCGGCUAACUACGUGCCAGCAGCCGCGGUAAUACGUAGGGUGCGAGCGUUAAUCGGAAUUACUGGGCGUAAAGCGUGCGCAGGUGGUUUUGUAAGUCAGAUGUGAAAGCCCCGGGCUCAACCUGGGAACU